GAUGAACGCUAGCUACAGGCUUAACACAUGCAAGUCGAGGGACCGGCGCACGGGUGAGUAACACGUAUCCAACCUGCUCUUUACUCGGGGAUAGCCUUUCGAAAGACAGAUUCAUACCAGAUAUAAAGGAUGGGGAUGCGUUCCAUUAGGUUGUUGGUGAGGGAACGGCUCACCAAGCCUUCGAUGGUGAGGGGUUCUGAGAGGAAGGUCCCCCACAUUGGAACCGAGGCACGGUCCAAACUCGUACGGGAGGCAGCAGUGAGGAAUAUUAGGGAAUGGGCGCUAGCCUGAACCAGCCAAGUAGAGUGAAGGAUGAAGGCGUAUGGGUCGUAUACUUCUUAUAUAUAAGAAUAUGUAUUAUAUGAAUAAGGAUCGGCUAACUCCGUGCCAGCAGCCGCGGUAAUAC
rnacentral:rRNA from 1 species